rnacentral:rRNA from 1 species
UACAGAGGUGGCAAGCGUUGUUCGGAAUUACUGGGCGUAAAGGGCGCGUAGGCGGCCUACUAAGUCAGACGUGAAAUCCCCCGGCUUAACCUGGGAACUGCGUCUGAUACUGGAAGGCUUGAGGAUGGGAGAGGGAUGUAGAAUUCCAGGUGUAGAGGUGAAAUUCGUAGAUAUUCGGAAGAACACCAGUGGCGAAGGCGGCUCGCUGGACAUGUAUUGACGCUGAGGUGCGAAAGCGUGGGGAGCAAACAGG